ACUCCCGGGCGCGUUCUCCUCCCAUUUGCACCCGGUGAGUGUUCCCCUCUGGAGGUUUAGCCUAACGGCACUUCCAACAACUCUUAGCCGGGUCCGCGAGAUCCGGCUUUUUUU
rnacentral:sRNA from 1 species